GGGUGAGUAACGCGUGGGAACCUACCCUGGGGUGGGGGACAACCACUGGAAACGGUGGCUAAUACCGCAUACGCCCUCCGGGGGAAAACUUUUGUGCCCUGGGAUGGUCCCGCGUCGGAUUAGCUAGUUGGUGGGGUAACGGCCUACCAAGGCGACGAUCCGUAACUGGUCUGAGAGGAUGAUCAGUCACACUGGAACUGAGACACGGUCCAGACUCCUACGGGAGGCAGCAGUGGGGAAUAUUGGACAAUGGGGGCAACCCUGAUCCAGCCAUGCCGCGUGGGUGAAGAAGGCCUUAGGGUUGUAAAACCCUUUCAGCGGGGAAGAUGAUGACGGUACCCGCAGAAGAAGCCCCGGCUAACUCCGUGCCAGCAGCCGCGGUAAUACGGAGGGGGCUAGCGUUGUUCGGAAUUACUGGGCGUAAAGGGCGUGUAGGCGGUCUAUCGAGUCAGGCGUGAAAGCCCCGGGCUUAACCUGGGAACUGCGUUUGAUACUGAUAGACUAGAGGUUGGAAGAGGAGAGUGGAAUUCCCAGUGUAGAGGUGAAAUUCGUAGAUAUUGGGAAGAACACCAGUGGCGAAGGCGGCUCUCUGGUCCAUACCUGACGCUGAGGCGCGAAAGCGUGGGGAGCAAACAGGAUUAGAUACCCUGGUAGUCCACGCCGUAAACGAUGUGUGCUAGACGUCGGGUGUUCAGCAUUCGGUGUCGGAGCUAACGCAUUAAGCACACCGCCUGGGGAGUACGGCCGCAAGGUUAAAACUCAAAGGAAUUUUNNG
rnacentral:rRNA from 1 species